UACAGAGGUGCCAAGCGUUGUUCGGAUUUAUUGGGCGUAAAGGGUGCGUAGGCGGUGAUAUAAGUCGGGUGUGAAAUUUCGGAGCCUAACUCCGAAACUGCAUUCGAAACUGUAUCGCUCGAGGUCUGGAGAGGUAAUUGGAAUUCUUGGUGUAGCAGUGAAAUGCGUAGAUAUCAAGAGGAACACCAGAGGCGAAAGCGAAUUACUGGACAGAACCUGACGCUGGGGCACGAAAGCUAGGGGAGCAAACGGG
rnacentral:rRNA from 1 species